ensembl:lncRNA
AUGACAAGGGUUUACAGCUCAACUGACCAUCAGUAUUGGUUUCCUUCUUUCUCCUAAUAACUUAAAGAGUAGUAAAAUAUUUCAAGAGCAUCUCAGCAUAUUUCAGAUUCCUUAUACUUAAGAAGAAUCUAUGGAACUGAGAAAUGACUGCUAAUUUAUAUAAGAAUUAUCAUCAGUUAUGUUUAUGUAUGUGGUGAAGAGCAUGAGCUACAAUCCAGUCCCCAAGGCAUUUCACGCCACUUGGCCAUCUAAGAAAACAGCAAAGAAGGAAGCUGGAUAGCCGAUUGGCUGGAUAGCCAUGCUCAAUGGACAGAGGAGGAGUUGUUCGUGUCUGCAGUAUACAACCAGACUUCUGACUCACAUUUAAUUAAAUGUGUUGGUUUGAGCCUCAGUGAAGACAAGGAAAAGAAAAAAGAGGGGAAACAUAAAAAUACAUUUCUUUGUAUACCUUUCAGUAAUGCAGGUCUCAUUAGUAAGCAGCAUUAUCUUCUGAGAUUCUUCUGGGAGGACAAGAGAACUAUCAAUAAUAAUAUAAUUCCCCAUAGAAUCAUGGACAGAGGAAGAUAGAACUGCCCAUUGAUUGAUUUGUUGUUAUGCCUCAUGUUUACCUGAAGUACAGCUACUUAUUAUCUGUAUGUUCUGAAGAUUUCAUUAUCUUCUGCACUCAACCCUCAAUUCCUUCAAUUCAUAAAUAAUUUCUUACAGUGGUGUAAGUUGUGAAUCUUUCAGAUCUACUUACCUCUCUAUUACUAUCGUUUUCCUCUGUAUCAGAAGAUACUGUGUUCCCUAAAGUUUGAAAAAUAAGUUAUCUCCUGAAAGCUGCACUCUAAACACAUUUUUCCUACUUCCUUUAGAAAGGAAAACAUGAUAUUAUAAAGGCUACAAUUCAGCAAGUAUCACAUGUGCUAUGACAUUACAGGUAAAAGCUACAAUUUUUUCCAGCUCUUAAUGCAUAUAUAUAUAUAUAUAUAUAUUUAUGCACUGUAUCUCCAUGCAUUACUUUGUAUAGUCUUUCAGCUGGAAAACUUGUUUUACUGUCAAAAUACUUGAAAAUAUUUGUUAUUUACUCUGCAAAGAUUACUGUUUUGACCUUGGUCUAUCAGUUCUCAGACAGAUUUGACUGCAAUACUGAGAAAAUAAAUGUCUCUGCCAAAAUCACAUUCUAAAAUGUAACUGACAGCUGUUUUCUUUCCAAACUUUGUCCAUUAAAACCACUCUUUAGAAAAAUAUACAAAAUUAAUCUAAAAGAAUCGACCUACUUAUCCAGGCAGAAACUUGAAAAUUAUUAAUAAAUCAGAAAAUGAAGAGACUCACCCUACUCAACUCUGUAGGGACAGCAGGAAUAGUGGUCUUUCUGAAGAGCAUUAUUAAUAAAAAUAAUAAUUGGUUU